GACGAAGGAUGCAAGCGUUAUCCGGAUUCAUUGGGUUUAAAGGGCGCGUAGGUGGCCUUAUAAGUCAGUGGUGAAAUCUCUCGGCUUAACCGAGAAAUUGCCAUUGAUACUGUAGGGCUUGAGUAUAGUUGCCGUUGGCGGAAUAUGACAUGUAGUGGUGAAAUACAUAGAGAUGUCAUAGAACACCGAUUGCGAAGGCAGCUAACGAAACUAUAACUGACACUGAGGCUCGAAAGUGCGGGGAUCAAACAGG
rnacentral:rRNA from 1 species